UGCAGAUGGCAGGACAGUAGACUUUAC
rnacentral:piRNA from 1 species